ACGCUCGACACCUACGGCAGGCAGCAGUGGGGAAUAUUGGGCAAUGGGCGCAAGCCUGACCCAGCAACGCCGCGUGAAGGAAGAAGGCUUUCGGGUUGUAAACUUCUUUUCUCAGGGACGAAGGAAGUGACGGUACCUGAGGAACAAGCCACGGCUAACUACGUGCAGCAGCCGCGGUAAUCUGAGGCGGGCUGGCAAGGC
rnacentral:rRNA from 1 species